GGGCUGUGGCAUUGCUAUUAGGAAGGCACACAAAAAUAUAUGUGGGAAUAGCUCAAUGUAUAAUCAGCAGCUGUGCAAAGUGCCAAAGUUGUACCAUGUCUAAUUCAAAGACAAA